rnacentral:rRNA from 1 species
CAGCACCUCAAGUGGUCAGGAUGAUUAUUGGGCCUGAAGCAUCCGUAGCCGGCUCUGUAAGUUUUCGGUUAAAUCUGUAUGCUCAACAUACAGGCUGCCGGGAAUACUGCAGAGCUAGGGAGUGGGAGAGGUAGACGGUACUCGGUAGGAAGGGGUAAAAUCCUUUGAUCUAUUGAUGACCACCUGUGGCGAAGGCGGUCUACCAGAACACGUCCGACGGUGAGGGAUGAAAGCUGGGGGAGCAAACCGGAUUAGAUACCCGAGUAGUCC